rnacentral:rRNA from 1 species
GUGAAAGUCCUCGGCUUAACUGGGGAAGGUCAGGAGAUACCGCCAGGCUUGAGCCCAGGAGAGGAGGGUGGAACUUCCAGAGUAGCGGUGAAAUGCGCAGAUACUGGAAGGUACCCCGAUGGCGAAGGCAACCCUCUGGCCUGGUGCUGACGCUGAAGCGCGAAAGCGUGGGGAGCGAAGGGGAUUAGAUACCCCCGUAGUCCACGCCCCAAACGAUGUCCACUAGGUGUCGGCCGCUUAAAAAAGGUCGGUGCCGCAGCUAACGCGUUAAGUGGACCGCCUGGGGAGUACGGCCGCAAGGCUAAAACUCAAGGGAAUUGACGGGGGCCCGCACAACCGUUGGAGCACGUGGUUCAAUUCGAUGAUAAGCGAGGAACCUUACCAGGGCUUGACAUGCGCCGACAAAGCUUCCCGAAAGGGAGGUAGCUUCGCAAGCAUGUCUUGCGAAGGCGGUGCACAGGUGGUGCAUGGCUGUCGUCAGCUCGUGUCGUAGGACGUCGGGUUAAGUCCCGUAACGAGCGCAACCCUCGCCACUAGUUGCCAGCGGGUCGUGCCGGGGACUCUAGUGGGACUGCCGGUGAAUAGCCGGAGGAAGGAGGGGAUGACGUCAAGUCCUCAUGCCCCUUAUGUCCUGGGCGACACACGUGCUCAAUGGCCGAUACAAAGGGCAGCCAACCCGCGAGGGGGAGCCAAUCCUUUAAGAUCGGUCCCAGUUCGGAUUGGGGUCUGCAACUCGACCCCAUGAAGUCGGAAUCGGUAGUAAUCGUGGGUCAGC